rnacentral:rRNA from 1 species
UAGGGAAUCUUCCACAAUGGGCGAAAGCCUGAUGGAGCAACGCCGCGUGUGUGAUGAAGGCUUUAGGGUCGUAAAGCACUGUUGUAUGGGAAGAAAUGCUAGAAUAGGGAAUGAUUCUAGUUCGACGGUACCAUACCAGAAAGGGACGGCUAAAUACGUGCCAGCAGCCGCGGUAAUACGUAUGUCCCGAGCAUUAUCCGGAUUUAUUGGGCGUAAAGCGAGCGCAGACGGUUGAUUAAGUCUGAUGUGAAAGCCCGGAGCUCAACUCCGGAAUGGCAUUGGAAACUGGUUAACUUGAGUGUUGUAGAGGUAAGUGGAACUCCAUGUGUAGCGGUGGAAUGCGUAGAUAUAUGGAAGAACACCAGUGGCGAAGGCGGCUUACUGGACAACAACUGACGUUGAGGCUCGAAAGUGUGGGUAGCAAACAGGAUUAGAUACCCUGGUAGUCCACACCGUAAACGAUGAAUACUAGGUGUUAGGAGGUUUCCGCCUCUUAGUGCCGAAGCUAACGCAUUAAGUAUUCCGCCUGGGGAGUACGACCGCAAGGUUG